rnacentral:sRNA from 1 species
UUUUUUUUUCCUUUUUUUU